UGUGCUGACCAUGGGCCCUGAGCGUCCU
rnacentral:piRNA from 1 species